rnacentral:rRNA from 1 species
UUCGGAUCGCAGGCUGCAACCCGCCUGCGUGGAGUCGGAAUCGCUAGUAAUCGCGGAUCAGCAUGCCGCGGUGAAUACGUUCCCGGGCCUUGUACACACCGCCCGUCACACCAUGAGAGUCGGGAACACCCGAAGUCCGUAGCCUAACAGCAAUGAGGGCGCGGCCGAAGGUGGGUUCGAUAAUUGGGGUGAAGUCGUAACAAGGUACC